AUCCCCCCCUCGAGAGCAAUGGGUCCCCCGUUGGGACGGCCCCGUGCCUCAGUUUCCCCAUGUGGGUAAUGGGUUCCCCAUUGGGAGUCAUGGAAACCCAUUGGGACGGCCCCGUGCCUCAGUUUCCCCAUGUGGGCAAUGGGUUCCCCAUUGGGAGUCAUGGAUCCCCCAUUGGCAGCAAUGGGUCCCCCACUGGAACGAUUCCGUGCCUCGGUUUCCCCAUAGGGAUCAUGGAUUUCCCAUAGGGAUCAUGGAUCCCCCAUUGGGAGUCGUGGAAACCCAUUGGGAUGGCCCUGUGCCCCAGUUUCCCCACUGGGAGUCAUAGAUUCCCCACUGGGAGUCAUGGAAACCCACUGGGAUGGCCCCUGUGCCUCAGUUUCCCCACUGGGAGUCAUGGAUUCCCUUUCAAGAGCAAUGGGCCCCCCAUUGGGACGGCCCCGUGCCUCAAUUUCCCCAUAUGGGUAAUGGGUUCCCCAUUGGCAGUCGUGGAUCCCCCAUUGGGAGUCAUGGAAACCCAUUGGGAUGGCCCUGUGCCUCAGUUUCCCCACUGGGAGUCAUAGAUCCCCCCACUGGGAGUCAUGGAAACCCACUGGGAUGGCCCCUGUGCCUCAGUUUCCCCACUGGGAAUUAUGGAUCCCCCCUCGAGAGCAAUGGGUCCCCCGUUGGGACGGCCCCGUGCCUCAGUUUCCCCAUGUGGGUAAUGGGUUCCCCAUUGGGCGUCAUGGAAACCCAUUGGGACAGCCCCCUGCCUCAGUUUCCCCGUAUGGGAAAUGGAUUGCUAUGGUACGACUCUGUGCCUCAGUUUCCCCACUGGGAGCCAUGGAAACCCACUGGGACGGCCCCGUGCCUCAGUUUCCCCACUGGGAGUCAUGGAUCCCAUAUUGGGAGCAAUGGUCCCCCACUGGAACAGUUCCGUGCCUCAGUUUCCCCAUGGGGAUCAUGGAUUCCCCAUAGGGAUCAUGGAUCCCCCAUUGGGAGCAAUGGAUCCCGCAUUGGGACAGCCCCGUGCCUCAGUUUCCCCAUAUGGGUACUGGGAUCCCCAUAGGGAUCAUGGGUCCCCCAUUGGGUGCCAUGGAUCCCCCAUUGGGAGCAAUGGAUCCCACAUUGGGAUGGCCCCAUGCCUCAGUUUCCCCAUUGGGAUCGUGGAUCCCCCAUUGGGAGUCAUGGAUCCCCCAUUGGGAGCAAUGGGUCCCCCACUGGAACAAUUCUGUGCCUCAGUUUCCCCAUAGGGAUCAUGGAUUCCCCAUAGGGAUCAUGGAUCCCCCAUUGGGAGUCAUGGAUCCCCCAUUGGGCGCCAUGGAUCCCCCAUUGGGAGUCAUUGAUCCCCCACUGGGAGUCAUUGAUCCCCCAUUGGGAAUCAUGGAUCCCCCAUUGGGAGUCAUUGAUCCCCCAUUGGGCGCCAUGGAUCCCCCAUUGGGAGUCAUUGAUCCCCCAUAGGGAUCAUGGAUCCCCCAUUGGGAGUCAUGGAUCCUCCAUUGGGAAUNUGGAUCCCCCAUUGGGAGCAAUGGAUCCCACAUUGGGAUGGCCCCAUGCCUCAGUUUCCCCAUUGGGAUCGUGGAUCCCCCAUUGGGAGUCAUGGAUCCCCCAUUGGGAGCAAUGGGUCCCCCACUGGAACAAUUCUGUGCCUCAGUUUCCCCAUAGGGAUCAUGGAUUCCCCAUAGGGAUCAUGGAUCCCCCAUUGGGAGUCAUGGAUCCCCCAUUGGGCGCCAUGGAUCCCCCAUUGGGAGUCAUUGAUCCCCCACUGGGAGUCAUUGAUCCCCCAUUGGGAAUCAUGGAUCCCCCAUUGGGAGUCAUUGAUCCCCCAUUGGGCGCCAUGGAUCCCCCAUUGGGAGUCAUUGAUCCCCCAUAGGGAUCAUGGAUCCCCCAUUGGGAGUCAUGGAUCCUCCAUUGGGAAUCAUGGAUCCCCCAUUGGGAGUCAUUGAUCCCCCAUUGGGAAUCAUGGAUUCCCCAUCGGGAAUCAUGGAUCCCCCAUUGGGAGUCAUUGAUCCCCCAUUGGGAGUCAUUGAUCCCCCAUUGGGAAUCAUGGAUCGCCCAUUGGGAGCAAUGGGCCCCGUGCCUCAGUUUCCCCACCCCCCCCGGGUAACGCAUCACUACGGUUCAGACCUGUGCCUCAGUUUCCCCCCCCUCGUCCCCCCCCGGUACGGCUUCGUGCCUCAGUUUCCCCACGAGGAACGGGGUCACGUGACAGCACUGCCCCCCGCUUCCCCCUAUCUCGUCGCGGUACGGCCCCGUGCAUCAGUUUCCCCCCGCGGGUAACGGCUCCCUACGGCCUCGCUUUCUUCAUUCAUAAAAUGGGUACGCUACGGGGGCGUGGCUUGCGCAGGCCACGCCCCCUCCGUUCAUUUUUUUUAAAAUCCAUAUCUCAGCCAAUAAAACCUGACGUAGAACGCUGAUUGGUCGGCA
rnacentral:lncRNA from 1 species